rnacentral:lncRNA from 1 species
AUAAUAAAAUUGAGAAUGGAAAUGGGGAAUGUGUCAAAGAGACAACAACCCGACCAAAUAAAAAAAAACAACAGCAGAGGGUCACCAACAGGUCUUCAAUGUAGCGAGAAAUUCCUGCACCCGGAGGCGUCCUUCAGCUGGCCCCUAAACAAAUAUAUACUAGUCCAGUGAUAAUGAACGCCAUACUAAUUUCCAAAUUGUACACAAGAAACUAAAAUUAAAAUAAUACAAGACUAACAAAGGCCAGAGGCUCCUGACUUGGGACAGGCGCAAAAAUGCGGCGGGGUUAAACAUGUUUGUGAGAUCACAACCCUCCCCCUACACCUCUAACCAAUGUAGUAAAGUAAACGCAUAACAAUACGCACAUUAAAAUUCAGUUCAAGAGAAAUCCGAGUCUGAUGUCAGAACAUGUAACCAAAGAAAAUAAACAAAAUGACAAUAAUACAUAAAUAACAACAGACUACUAGCAGUUAACUGACAUGCCAGCUCCAGACUUCAAUUAAACUGACUGAAAGAUUAUGAUUUCAUCAUAUGAAC